rnacentral:rRNA from 1 species
UACGAAGGGGGCUAGCGUUGUUCGGAAUUACUGGGCGUAAAGCGCGCGCAGGUGGUCUUUCAAGUCAGUGGUGAAAGCCCGGAGCUCAACUCCGGAAAUGCCAUUGAAACUGUGAGACUUGAGGACGAGAGAGGUGAGUGGAAUUCCCAGUGUAGAGGUGAAAUUCGUAGAUAUUGGGAAGAACACCAGUGGCGAAGGCGGCUCACUGGCCCGAUACUGACGCUGAGGCACGAAAGCGUGGGGAGCAAACGGG